CCCCCCAAAAAAAAAAUCCUCCAACAAAAAGAUGCUACUGAUAACCUAUGAAAUAACUUGUCAUCUAACAACGAAUUAUGUGUGUAAGAGCAUAUAUGAAGAUAUUUAUCAAGGAGUUGUUCCCCUGCAAUCUGCAUCCCUCUGAUCAUCUAUCGAAAUUAAAGUGGCUCAAAAGUCUCAACAAUCCAGUGAAAUCUGAUGCUUCUAAUAUGUUAAGAGCAUAUGAUUCACUUUUUUAUCCGAAUUGCCACGACUUAUAUAGCUUGAGUAUAUAGCCAAGAUAUCCCGUUCUUUAUUCCCCAUUUCAUGAUCUUAUUAAAGGCAAAAACAUUGGAAAGAAAAAUCUAUGUAAGAGACUGCAUAGUAUAAAGAGACUAUGUCAAGAAAGACAAUAACAUCUUUUUUGUUGGCGGCAAAAACUGCCGCCAGCCGCUUCAAGACUCUAUGUAAGAGACUAUGUCAAGAAGGACAAGGGUAUAAUCAUGUCUUCUGUGGUUCUGUCGUACAGAAAAUAAAAGGCUUCAGAAUCGCCUGUGCAUCCUUCCAUCAUGAAAGCAAGCACAGACUAGGCUUUUAACGUUUGAGUUUAAAUAGGGUGAAAAUUAUGAAUUAAUUUUUUUUU
rnacentral:lncRNA from 1 species